UGUCGGAUAGGCGUUUAUGCCGCAUCCAACAUUUGCACAAGAUGCCCGAUGCGACGCUGGCGCGUCUUAUCAGGCC
rnacentral:ncRNA from 1 species